AACUAAUAUUUUAUUCGUUCUCUCCUUUUCUUUUUUUCUUUUCUUUUUCUUUCUUCUUUUCCUUUCUUUUCUUAUCCUCUGUUCAGUGCUGUUUUUUUUUUUUUUUUUCUUCUCUCUUCUCACCGGUUCUCUUUCCCUUUCACCGGUGGAUCAUGGUGGUGGUGGUGGUGGAUCAUGGAUCACGGCUGAGAUUUGGUCCGGUUAUGGUUGAUUUGGUGGGUUUUGGGUUUUGAUUUGGGUUGAGGUUGUGGGUGGUGAGUCAGGUGGCUUCGAUGGGUUGGGUUGAAGUUGUGGGUUGUGGCUUCGAUGGAUUGAUUCAGGUGAUUUGGGUUGAGGUUGUGGGUUGCGGCCGGAUCAUGGAUCGCGUCUGAGAUUUGGUUUUGAUUUGGAUUGAGGUUCUAGGUUGAGCUUCGAUGGCUUGAUUUCGGUGAGAGGUGAGUCACGGUGACUGUGCUGUGUUUGUGGUUGAGAGGUGGAAGAGGAAGGUUGGUGGUGGCUGGAUUGUGGGCUUUUUCUUUGCUGAGGUUGGUGGUUGCCGGUUGAGAAGUGGCGGAAGAGGAAGGUUGUUGGGGCCUGGAUUUUUUUUUUUUUUUUUGCUUCCUGCUGCCGUAGUUUGUGGUUGUGGACGGUGUGGCAACGGUGGAAGUGGCUAUUGUUGCUGCUGUGUUGUGAUGGUUUGGUUUUUGUGGCUGAUGUUUAUCAUUAUUUUAAUGAGUUAUUUAUAUUAUUUUAAAUAGAUUAAUGGCUGUAGGGAGUAUAUAUUAUAAAGUGGGUCUUUAAAAUAGAUACAGGGGACUGUUUGGUAUAUAAUUUAAAAAGAUUGUUUUCAGUUUUUAAAUAAUAUUACAUAUUUUAAGUAUUUUUUAGUCACACAUAUUUUUAUACAUGUAUUUAAACAUAAAAAUAGAUAUUUUUAAGUGCAUGUUUUGAGAUGCUAAAACUAAAUUUUAUAGACGAUUUACUGUGAAUGCUCUUAUCAUUGCUUAGUUCACGCUCUGCCGUAGCCUGUGUUAGGAUCGAAAAAGUAUAUGCUGUUUCCAAACCAAUAAAAACCUUGUCUUAAAAAUAACACAUCAGAUUACUAGACCUAGACCAACACUAGUUAAAAGAUGAAAUUACGCCUGAAAUUUUUGAAAUCCCGCCACUUUCAGUUCUUUUUUGUGUGUUUCCACUUAUAUUAUAUAUAUAAGCUUUCAAUAUUGAAGUCUGAAUUUGUCUCCUAAAUUUUAAACAGAAUUAGAAUUCCCCUUUUUCUUGACAUAUUUAGAUAUGAGUAUUUUAUGAUGGGUUUCUGGCUUGAGUGCAUUAAUAUGUAGGACGUUUGCUUACAGUUUUUCACGUUUGUUAUGAUUACAGGGGGAUGAUAUGCAUAGGACAACAGCAUUUUCGCGAAGCCCUAGAGCUCCUACACAAUGUUGUUACUGCUCCAAUGUCAACUAUAAAUUUCAUAGCAGUUGAGGCUUACAAAAAAUACUUAUUGGUUUCUCUCAUUCACCAUGGGCAGUUUUCUUCUAGUCUUCCUAAGUACGCUUCUUCAGCUGCCUGGAGAAAUCUAAAGAGCUUCUGUCAGCCGAAAUUGCAGAAUUAGAGGCGAACAUCUAGACAAACAAGGAGAAUUUUAAAAGAGACCAAAAUCUUGGAUUGGUGGAGCAGGUUGUGUAAUCCAUGUAUAAGCAAAAUAUCCAAAGAUUGGCUCAAACAAGCCUGAUCCUCUCCCUUGAAGAUAUUGCCAAUGAAGUACAACUGAAUAAUCCUAAGUUGCCAGAAAUGCAUGUCCUACAAAUGAUCCAAGAUGGUGAGAUAUUUGCAACCAGGAGGAUGGAAUGGUCAAAUUCGUGGAGGGACCCGAACAAUAUUAGACCUGUGAGAUGAUUGAGCGUAUUGGUUCAUCCAUCCAUAGGUAUGCAGCUGGAAAUUUAUUUAAGUUUAUUAGAGAGAAGGGUACAUGAUAUCUUCCACAAGUCCACGAGUUUGAGCUCUUUGUCCUUCCUUUCUUGCCCAAAUCUUAGUUUCCAAUGAGAUGGCAUUGGAUGAAUUUCAUGUUCGAAAUAAAUACAUUUUAUAUUAAGUGAAUAUUAUUGAAAUAAAGUACAAUUAUAACUAUUUACCAAAA